UACGUAGGGUGCGAGCGUUAAUCGGAAUUACUGGGCGUAAAGCGUGCGCAGGCGGCGCGUUAAGACAGGUGUGAAAGCCCCGAGCUUAACUUGGGAAUUGCGCUUGUGACUGGCGUGCUGGAGUGGGGCAGAGGGAGGUGGAAUUCCACGUGUAGCAGUGAAAUGCGUAGAGAUGUGGAGGAACACCGAUGGCGAAGGCAGCCUCCUGGGCCAGCACUGACGCUCAUGCACGAAAGCGUGGGGAGCAAACAGG
rnacentral:rRNA from 1 species